CAAUAGCGUAUAUUAAAGUUGUUGCGGUUAAAAAGCUCGUAGUUGGAUUUCUGUUGGGAACGACCGGUCCGCCCAUUGGGUGUGUAUCUGGCUUGUUCUCGGCAUCUUCUUGGUGAACGUUGCUGCACUUGACUGUGUGGAGCGCUACCCAGGACUUUUACUUUGAGGAAAUUAGAGUGUUUCAAGCAGGCAUAUGCCUUGAAUACAUCAGCAUGGAAUAAUAAGAUAGGACCUCGGUUCUAUUUUGUUGGUUUCUAGAGCUGAGGUAAUGAUUAAUAGGGAUAGUUGGGGGCAUUCGUAUUUAACUGUCAGAGGUGAGAUUCUUGGAUUUGUUAAAGACGGACUACUGCGAAAGCAUUUGCCAAGGAUGUUUUCAUUGA
rnacentral:rRNA from 1 species